rnacentral:rRNA from 1 species
AUGAACGCUGGCGGCGUGCCUAAUACAUGCAAGUCGAGCGAACAGACGAGGAGCUUGCUCCUCUGACGUUAGCGGCGGACGGGUGAGUAACACGUGGAUAACCUACCUAUAAGACUGGGAUAACUUCGGGAAACCGGAGCUAAUACCGGAUAAUAUAUUGAACCGCAUGGUUCAAUAGUGAAAGACGGUUUUGCUGUCACUUAUAGAUGGAUCCGCGCCGCAUUAGCUAGUUGGUAAGGUAACGGCUUACCAAGGCAACGAUGCGUAGCCGACCUGAGAGGGUGGUCGGCCACACUGGAACGGGGACACGGUCCAGACUCCUACGGGAGGCAGCAGUAGGGAAUCUUCCGCAAUGGGCGGAAGCCUGACGGAGCAACGCCGCGGGAGUGAUGAAGGUCUUCGGAUCGUAAAACUCUGUUAUUAGGGAAGAACAAAUGUGUAAGUAACUAUGCACGUCUUGACGGUACCUAAUCAGAAAGCCACGGCUAACUACGUG